CGAAACCGAUAGCGAACAAGUACCGUGAGGGAAAGUUGAAAAGUACUCUGAAUAGAGAGUUAAAUAGUACGUGAAACCGCUUAGGGGUUAAGCCCGAUGAACCCGAAUAUCUGAUGUGAGAAAUUCAAUACGAUUCAAAUUCAUAUUUUUAUAUUGGAUUUGUAUAGUAUGCACUUUUCUCAUGGUAAGACAUUGUAAUCCAUUGAUAUUAUAUCUCAUAUGAUAUGAUUUAACAUACGGACAAAAUGUUUAUGAUUAUUCUAUCAAUGAUAUGUUUACAUGUCAUAUGAAUAAAAUCGUUUUGUUCCCUGUUUAAAUAGUCGAUGGAUUUGUCAUUGAAAUCAUGCUUGCAAUUUAUUUUGCGUUUCGUAUCAAUAAUUUUUAAUUGUUGAUAGCAGAAAUGGCAUGUAUUCGAUUAACAAUGCGAUAGAUUUGGGAUACUUUCAGGACCCGUCUUGA
rnacentral:rRNA from 1 species